GACGAACGCUGGCGGCGUGCUUAACACAUGCAAGUCGAACGGAAAGGCCCUGCUUUUGUGGGGUGCUCGAGUGGCGAACGGGUGAGUAACACGUGAGUAACCUGCCCUUGACUUUGGGAUAACUUCAGGAAACUGGGGCUAAUACCGGAUAGGAGCUCCUGCUGCAUGGUGGGGGUUGGAAAGUUUCGGCGGUUGGGGAUGGACUCGCGGCUUAUCAGCUUGUUGGUGGGGUAGUGGCUUACCAAGGCUUUGACGGGUAGCCGGCCUGAGAGGGUGACCGGCCACAUUGGGACUGAGAUACGGCCCAGACUCCUACGGGAGGCAGCAGUGGGGAAUAUGGCACAAUGGGCGGAAGCCUGAUGCAGCAGCGCCGCGUGCGGGAUGACGGCCUUCGGGUUGUAAACCGCUUUCGCCUGAGACGAAGCGUGAGUGACGGUAAUGGGUAAAGAAGCACCGGCUAACUACGUG
rnacentral:rRNA from 1 species